AUGUACCUUUGCAGUUGUACAUAUGUGGGUAUUUUUUAUUCCAUCCAGCUGAACCAAUAUCUCUAAAUAUUUCAACGCCAAUUGCCUUUUCAUUGAAAAUUCCAGUGGAGUAUCAGAUGGCAAAGCGUUUAGCUCUGUGCAGGGGUCUCUAAAAGUGAGGAAUAAAGGGGGUAUUAAUUAAAAACAAAAAACUGAUAAAUGCUGAUAACUCUCGUAGAAUCAUAGAAUAGUUUGAGUUGGAAGGGACUAUCAAAGGUCAUCUCGUCCAUCUCCCCUGCAAAGAACAGUGACAUCUACAGCUAGAUGUAGGUGCUGGUUUGUGUUACGUUUUGUAUUGCUGAAUGACAGAUUAAUGCUGGGUUUUGUUUUGCCCUUAUCCUCAGACACCGGCUUUCCUUACAUGUGGAUGGUUUACAGCACACUGAACACUGCUUCUUUCCAAAACUCCAGAAUUUAAGGCCCAAGACAAAAUUACCCUUCUUUUCCUAUAGGAAAGUUUCCUGCUCUAUAAACUGUGCAAUAACUAAAUAAAUACAGAUAAAUAGGACUUGGAGGUAUCUUUGAAAUACCUGAAAAAAUGUCUGGGAAUGGGGAAAAAAGACCACCCCAGAAGCAGCAGUGAUAUAGAUAAAGUAUAGUCAUUCAAGCACUGGAACAGUUUCUGCUGAGUCCCCAUCCCUGAACGCUAAAACUAGGCUGAAACCCUGAACAACCCAAUCUGGUCUCAGAGCCAACCUGACUCUGAGCAGGCACUAUAUUAAGAAGCUCCUGAGGUCACCCCCAGCCCAUCAUUCCAUCCCUCUUCUCAUUCUUACCACCACAAUGACAUGUCUAAAGUGAAAACCCAUCUCAGAUUGCUGGAUUUUAGAAGAUUCUGAAAGUGAUAGAACAAUUGCCUCUACCCAACUUCUGGUGCUGAGCAACUGCAGAGAUGUUAAUUCUGCACUACAGGCAUGAGCUCCUGGGAAUACCGCAAGAAGCAACGCUUUGCACGAGUGGCUGUUUAGCAGUGAUGAAGCACCUCUCAAAGCUGAAGCUUCAGUGCUGUAGUGCAAUGUAUCUUCUGCCAGAAAGAGAUGAAAAUGGAGCUGGUGUGCUGCAGAUGGCAUCAUUUACUGAGAGGAAAAAUUAUUCAUGAGAUGAGCUAGAACUGAUCCGUGUUUCAAACAGCUUUCAGGCACUGUUAGGGAAUUGUUGAGUCCAUUUUAGGGAGAUAAUAUUGAGAUUCACUUAGGAAAUGUCUAAAGAAAGCUAAAGGACAACUUAAAAAAUUUCCUACUAAAGAAGAUAUAAAUAUAAUACGGAUUAAGUUACAAAAGGCUGCUUUCUUGCCAUUGUUUUCAUUUGAAGCAUUUGUUUCUGCAUAAGAAAGAUUUUCUUUGGAAGGAAAAUUAUGCAAUAAAGUUUUUCAUGUAUCAUAGCUUUUUAGAGAG
rnacentral:lncRNA from 1 species